AGGGCGCACCUGCUCGGUGACGCUCCUGUUUGAUUGACAGCCGUAGGCGGGCUGAAAUCGAUAAAUAUCUGGCGAGGUUAGCUCUUCCUGCUGGCGCUUCCGCUCACUGCCAGGCCGCGUCGUGGGCACUAGCCGCGUACCUUUUUGUCUGAGGUCGGAUCAGAUCGAGUGAACGUCAAAGUUCGCCCUGCUUUGUGCAGUUAAAGUGCAUGAAUUAUGCUGUAAACCAGCCCAUGUUCCUGGAGGCGAGGGUAACCGUGGCGUUGUGGCUCCCUGAGACUGAUCGCGAGCUAUGGGCCUCAAGUGCGCUCCGAGCUAUUACAUUGGCGGUCUCUACAGCAAGUGACCAGCGGUGCGAUGUGUCCACGUUUCCUCUACCAGCUGCUGUUUUGACGAGAAAACAGAUUCCAACAGUUUCAUUCUGUUAACGUUUUGUUGUCCUGUGUGGUAUUGUUUGUUUAUUGUCUGUGGUGCUGUUGAGUGUACCGUGUGUGCGUUGGAUGGCGGUAGUUGCUACUCCGCCUCCCCCUCCCCUUCACGGUGCGUAUUGCGCGUCUGCGCGCGCUCCUUGGUCACUCCAACAGGUGAACAGUUUCCAGUGCGCGCCUCCGAUGCCCCUGAGCCUAAUAUGACACGUGUGCUUUGCAGUACCUAUUUUCUAUUUUCUUUGUUUGCUGUGAUUUGCAUGUUUAUUUAAUUUCACCCGCUGUGUUUCUUUUGAUUUCAUUUGGUUUGUCUAAAGCAUGUAUUUUUAUUUUAGUGUUGCUGUGGUUCAAUUACCGUAAUACCUCUCCUGGAUUUCUGGGGUUGUCAUCGUGGGGUUGCUUACUUGUUUCUGCAUAGCCCCUCUGUGGCUGGGAGUGUGAUAUGCCUGUGCAAUCCAUAUGUGAAUGAGUGUUUUAGCUGCUGAUUGCACAUUACUUCAGUAUUGUAUUUGUAUAUA